rnacentral:tRNA from 2 species
AAGAUUUUAAGUUAAUUUUAAAACUUUAAACCUUCAAAGUUUAAUAUAUAAAAAAUUUAUUUUAUAAAUCUUA